rfam:Hordeum vulgare subsp. vulgare, WGS project CAJW01000000 data, contig: morex_contig_41793
CAAAUACUCCCUCCGUCCGGAAAUACUUGUCCUAAAAAUGUACAAAAUGGAUGUAUCUAUAACUAAAAUAAGUCUAGAUACAUCUAUUUGUAGGACAAGUAUUUCCGGACGGAGGGAGUAUUCU